UCGCGGAAAAGAUGACGUGAUGCUCUUCGGGCAGGCUGGCCGCAGCUUCCCAGGCAGUCUCCGCAGCGCGGCGGGCAACUACUGGGCCGCCCGCAACCUCCACCCCCUCGGGGCUGCGACUCCUUUAGGGAAGGCAGAGGAGGUGCGGGAUGGAUGGACGCAUCCCGCAGAGCCGGGACCCUGGCCUACGCUCCGCCUCCCACUAGAGAGCCUCCAGAGACCCAUGCCACUUGGGAGCUCCCCUUCUGCUUCUGAGAAUUCUCAGUUCCAUCCCUGAGUCGGUCCUCCUGAGAGAAGUGGGGGAUGAGGAGGAGAAAAACUUGCCUCCUGUUACUUGUGUUGGGACCCCGCGAUUUGGUUUCCUACAGAAGCUAAGCAGGAAACUGGAGAUCAGAAAACAAGAAGCUAAAAGUAGAGAAUUAUGAGGUUCUAAGGAAUGGCAAAACAGAAGACAGAGGAGCCUGGAUCUCUGAAUCAACUACAUGGAGGAAAGUCUCCAGCUGACCAAGAAUACCCGCACUGGGCUCUUUGGUGAACAAGAAACAGACUUCAAUUGUGUGAAGCCACUGGUACUGUGGGGUUUAUUUGUUAUAGCAGCUAGCAUUACCAUCACCCAAGUAGAAUGUGUUGGGGUAGGGGAAGCAGAUCACGGAGAGCCUUGUAGCCGCACUGUAAAGAUUUUGUCUUUGUCUCUGAAUAAAAGGAAAAGUCACUGUAGAAUUUUGAACAAAGGAGUGUCAUGAUCUGCCUUGUUUAAAAGGAUAUGUAAGGUACCAUUUUAAGCACUUCAUAUAUAUUAACUCUGCCUUGAACUUGUCCUGAACUCAGAUUUGUAUAUCCAACUGACUUUUUAUCAUCUCAAUCUGGAGGUCUAAGAGGCAUCUCAAAGUUAACAUAUUCCAAAUCAAAUUUCUAAUUUACACCCGUAAUAUGCUGCC